rnacentral:rRNA from 1 species
UAUCGGAACGUGCCCUAGAGUGGGGGAUAACGUAGCGAAAGUUACGCUAAUACCGCAUACGAUCUAUGGAUGAAAGUGGGGGAUUCGCAAGAACCUCAUGCUCGUGGAGCGGCCGAUAUCUGAUUAGCUAGUUGGUAGGGUAAAAGCCUACCAAGGCAUCGAUCAGUAGCUGGUCUGAGAGGACGACCAGCCACACUGGAACUGAGACACGGUCCAG